rnacentral:rRNA from 1 species
GAUGAACGCUGGCGGCGUGCCUAAUACAUGCAAGUCGAGCGAACGGACGAGAAGCUUGCUUCUCUGAUGUUAGCGGCGGACGGGUGAGUAACACGUGGAUAACCUACCUAUAAGACUGGGAUAACUUCGGGAAACCGGAGCUAAUACCGGAUAAUAUUUUGAACCGCAUGGUUCAAAAGUGAAAGACGGUCUUGCUGUCACUUAUAGAUGGAUCCGCGCUGCAUUAGCUAGUUGGUAAGGUAACGGCUUACCAAGGCAACGAUGCAUAGCCGACCUGAGAGGGUGAUCGGCCACACUGGAACUGAGACACGGUCCAGACUCCUACGGGAGGCAGCAGUAGGGAAUCUUCCGCAAUGGGCGAAAGCCUGACGGAGCAACGCCGCGUGAGUGAUGAAGGUCUUCGGAUCGUAAAACUCUGUUAUUAGGGAAGAACAUAUGUGUAAGUAACUGUGCACAUCUUGACGGUACCUAAUCAGAAAGCCACGGCUAACUACGUGCCAGCAGCCGCGGUAAUACGUAGGUGGCAAGCGUUAUCCGGAAUUAUUGGGCGUAAAGCGCGCGUAGGCGGUUUUUUAAGUCUGAUGUGAAAGCCCACGGCUCAACCGUGGAGGGUCAUUGGAAACUGGAAAACUUGAGUGCAGAAGAGGAAAGUGGAAUUCCAUGUGUAGCGGUGAAAUGCGCAGAGAUAUGGAGGAACACCAGUGGCGAAGGCGACUUUCUGGUCUGUAACUGACGCUGAUGUGCGAAAGCGUGGGGAUCAAACAGGAUUAGAUACCCUGGUAGUCCACGCCGUAAACGAUGAGUGCUAAGUGUUAGGGGGUUUCCGCCCCUUAGUGCUGCAGCUAACGCAUUAAGCACUCCGCCUGGGGAGUACGACCGCAAGGUUGAAGCUCAAAGGAAUUGACGGGGACCCGCACAAGCGGUGGAGCAUGUGGUUUAAUUCGAAGCAACGCGAAGAACCUUACCAAAUCUUGACAUCCUUUGACAACUCUAGAGAUAGAGCCUUCCCCUUCGGGGGACAAAGUGACAGGUGGUGCAUGGUUGUCGUCAGCCCGUGUCGUGAGAUGUUGGGUUAAGUCCCGCAACGAGCGCAACCCUUAAGCUUAGUUGCCAUCAUUAAGUUGGGCACUCUAAGUUGACUGCCGGUGACAAACCGGAGGAAGGUGGGGAUGACGUCAAAUCAUCAUGCCCCUUAUGAUUUGGGCUACACACGUGCUACAAUGGACAAUACAAAGGGCAGCGAAACCGCGAGGUCAAGCAAAUCCCAUAAAGUUGUUCUCAGUUCGGAUUGUAGUCUGCAACUCGACUACAUGAAGCUGGAAUCGCUAGUAAUCGUAGAUCAGCAUGCUACGGUGAAUACGUUCCCGGGUCU